rnacentral:lncRNA from 1 species
CAGUUUGUUUUUCAAAAAUUUCCAUGUAGAUAAGUAUCAGCCCGAUAUGGAGCUUCCGGAGACCCAGAGGUUGCAGAGUGAGCUUGAUGUAUUAGAUGCGGAUAUAGUUCCGGAAGAAGGACCAUUUAUUCUAGACCAAAGUGCAAGCUUCAAAGACGAGGUGUUAGCCGUGGCAAAAACAAAAGCAGUGAAAAAGAAGCCUGUGACUGAGAAUGUGCCAUUUAGGAAGAAAGAUACUCUGGUGCCAGCAAGACAGCAAGGACUCUGCAAAGCUGAAAGAGGUAGACAAAGCCAACCUCACAGUAAAAGCAGAGUGCAGCAGACAACAGUUUCAUCCAGAUUAAAAAUGAACCGGCAGCCUGUGAAAGACCGCAAGGCACCAUGGAUACCCCCAAACCCCACAUCCCCACCAGCGUCUCCUAAAUGUGCCGCAUGGCUAAAGGUGAAAACUAGCCCCAGAGAUGCCACAAAAGAGCCUCUCCAGCAAGAAGAUCCUCAAGAGGAGAGUCACCUGACAGGUGCUGUUGAGCAUGAAGCAGCCAGGCUCGCUUGGCUUGAUGCUGAAACUUCCAAAAGAUUGAAGGAACUAGAAGAGUUAAAAGCCAAGGAAAUUGACAACAUGCAAA